rnacentral:rRNA from 1 species
AUUGAACGCUGGCGGCAUGCUUUACACAUGCAAGUCGAACGGUAACAGGCCUUCGGGUGCUGCCGAGUGGCGAACGGGUGAGUAAUGCAUCGGAACGUACCCAGAGGUGGGGGAUAACGCAGCGAAAGCUGUGCUAAUACCGCAUGUGAUCUGAGGAUGAAAGCGGGGGACCGAGCAGCAAUGUUUGGCCUCGCGCCUUUGGAGCGGCCGAUGUCGGAUUAGCUAGUUGGUGGGGUAAAGGCCUACCAAGGCGACGAUCCGUAGCUGGUCUGAGAGGACGACCAGCCACACUGGGACUGAGACACGGCCCAGACUCCUACGGGAGGCAGCAGGGGGGAAUUUUGGACAAUGGGCGCAAGCCUGAUCCAGCAAUGCCGCGUGCGGGAAGAAGGCCUUCGGGUUGUAAACCGCUUUUGGCAGGAACGAAACGGUGUCCGCUAAUACCGGGCGCUAAUGACGGUACCUGCAGAAUAAGCACCGGCUAACUACGU